rnacentral:lncRNA from 1 species
UCUGCAAACCCAACGAGGGUUGUAUGAGGCUUAGCAACGAGGGCUUCCUCGUGACAAACGCGGAGCCAACCAGGCAGCCAUGCCGGAGGGAGCAGGUGCUGGUCCCGGCAGGACGGGCGCGCGAGGCCUGGGGGCCCCGCCGAGCCUGCCGCUCCAGCGGGCCGCGCUCUGCGCUCUGGAAGCACCGCCGGGAGCGGGAGACGCUCGGGAGGGCGGCGGCCCCGAGAAGCACUGCCAGGCGCUCCUGGGCUCGUUUGUUUCGUUUUGUCCUUGGUUGGGCCUUCCGGCCACCCUCUCGGUCCAGCACUGUCAUUACAGAUUACAACUCCGUGUCUGUAAUUUCCAAACUCCAGGGCUCUCUACAAACCCAAAGCUCAUUUUCGCUGUUAACUUAUUGGGCAGUUAAACUGAACCAACACGAGGCUCUUUAGAGUGACUUUAUCCUUUUGGCAAUGACAGUUGAUAUGUUUUGAAGCAGAAAUCCUGAUUGUUUCCCACGAAGUACUGUUCCCUGACCCCACUAGGACUGUCACGUAGGUGACAGUAUGUAUAACACAUUCUGAAAAUUUCCGCAGCCUGAGACGCCCCUGGCCCCAUGUGCUGCAGAAGAGGGGCCUUGGAUGUGUGUCCCCACUAUCUACAUGAGCUUCCCCGAGGUGGAGUUUCACUCUGACCCGGGUCCAGACCUCUGAGCCCGGCGGCUGCUCGAUUCUGCCACGCCCGGCGGGAGGCUAAGGAAGACUCCUCUCUCCCCGGGUCUGUCCCUUCGUCUAUAACAGGGGGAGGCUGGACCAGAUCAGUGGGUUUCAAGCGUGUUUGUUUGUUUGCUUUGUUUUUUAAGCACCUUAGCCCUUCCUUCAAGGGAAACUUACAGGGAAAGUACAACUACUCCAGCGAGUGUGGCCUGCCCAGCGGGCCACCAGGGUGCUUCCACGACAGGACAGUGUGAAUACUGACGUGUGCGGUCUCACUCUGCGCUUGUCUUCUCAGAGGCCAACGGCCCUUUCUGAGAGGGAAGGACGGCUGGGGGAAACGCACGAUCUUGACGGACAGGAAGGCUUCCGAUCUGCAGAGAGGCCCAGAGCCGAACGCCACGAGCUCCGGGGAGAGAGCAGCAGCUCAGGGAGGGCGCGGUCCAGGAGCCAAGUCAGCCGAGGGAGGGGGCGCCACGGCCGGCAGGGAGGACAGGACAGGCACCAAGGGUGGCCGCGGGACCCCACCCUCCUGAUCGCCCCAGCCUGAGGCCCCGCCCUGACGAUGCGGG